rnacentral:lncRNA from 1 species
GCGUUCAAGAAAAGUUAGGCAUACUAUCGGGUGGUGUAGUUUAUUCUGUAUUUGACUAUACGGCACAACAAUCUGACGAAUUGAGUUUUAAAGAAGGAGACCAAAUCACAGUUCUGAGGAAAGGAGAUGAGAACGAACGAGAAUGGUGGUGGUCUCUGUUAGGGGAUAGAGAAGGGUACAUUCCACGCAAUUUGCUAGGCCUUUAUCCAAGAGUGCCGAAGAACGAAGACUAGCAGACGGUGUUCCUUGCAAUAUUAAGUACAUUAUUUUGGGUAUAGGAGAACAAAAAUAUUUUAUAUUUUUAGGACAUUUAAAAAUAUUUUAUAUUUUUAACCCUUCUUGUAUAUGAAAACGAAGAAGGAAAGAGUUUGAUCAGUUAUUAUCAUUUUUACACAAUUUUAUCACUAUUUUUUCAUAUCUCUCUUAUAGUAGAGCUAGAAAUUAUUCAUCGUAACAUUUGAGCGUCGCAAAAAAUUAUAACUGAAGAAACAAACCAAUUAAUUUAAGGUAGUAACAUUGGGGCUUUACCUCUCGCAUUGGACAACCUUUGAGUACAAAUUUAUUAUUCUAUUGACUUGAUUCAGAAAUUCAACAGUUUAGAAUAAUUUCCCAUUGAGUUUCCUUCUACAUUAGUCAUGAGGCUAUGCCGUUACGGGACCACAAAAAUAAAAUUUCUCUAGAUCCCUGAAAAACUGGGCAUUUCACAACAUAUGGCAACAGCGCCUUCCAUAAGAGCCUAUGUGUUAGAAUGUGAUCGAAAAUCAACUUUCCCCAGAUUCUAGAGAAAUUUUUAAAAAAUCUAGAAUUCAUUCUGCUCGUUUUUGGCGCUUUUUGUGGUAGGGACAGAACGGCUCGUCGGUAUUCCUUCAUUAGUUGUCUUCGGCGGUCUGGUUGCAACAGCUGCAGCUAGUAACAGGCUAACACAACUACCACAUUCAAUCACAAGAAUCUAUUGCAUUGCUUUAAUAGUAACGAACGAGGCAGUCCAAUCUGAAAUGGAAAGUCCCUUACAUUCUGUAAGUUUUAUGUGUAGGUAUAAAAUUUUUCAGAAGGACGUCAUUCACAGUUAAUAAAUAAGCAUCCUGUAUCUAUUAUUUGCAGUAAGUAAUUGAAGUACAAGCGAUGUUUUAAAAAUACAUAUAAGUUUUCUUACCAAAUCCGACCUACGUCAUUGAAAAUCUGCAGUAUUAAUCCAUUCCAACAUGGUAGGUUUUAUAUUAUGCAAUACAUACUUAUUUUUCUAAUGGAUGAAAAGUAGAUAUUCAAUGAAUACUCCCUUACUAGAAAUAUAGGGAAUACCACUAUUGCGAUUGACUGUCAGCAAUUGAAUUAUGAGCUUAGAAAGAAUAUUUGUUCAUUUAGCCUUUAUACGUAUUAAAUUAUUUAAAAUAAAAAUAAUGAAUAAAAUUUCAUAUUAUAUAAAAUAAGUUAUACAUAUGUAAAUAUAUUUAAAACGAAUAAGUUUUCAGUAUAAAAUCACCGUUUUUGUGUAUCAAAUUGUCAAAAUAGAAGUAAAAACAUUUGUCCUGCGUUUAUUGUACCCUUGACGUAUGACGUAUAAUAUAAUAUAGACCUCUUACGUCAUUGGUACGGUAUAUCACAAUUAUAUGUACCAAUGACAUAUAUUAUGACGUAGAAAUAUUAAACGUCAUAUGUCAAGGGUACGAAAAAAGAAAAGCGAGGAAUUGCCCUAUUAGAUAGGUUUGGUGGCUCUAUGAUUUAAUUAUUAAGUUGUUGAUGACGUAAGUGGGACACGGUAAGAAACAAGAGAUAUUUUGCGACACUCUACACAUCAAAU